GGUUCCCUAUCUCAAGCGGAAGAGAUCCCGGCUCAUAACCGGGCAUAUCCUGGUUCGAGGCCAGGGGGAGCCA
rnacentral:tRNA from 1 species